GGAGUAUGACGAGGCGGUCGUGUUAUAGCGAGGUAGUUAAGGGCGGCCGAGUGACACCGCACGCCGCGACCUUCAAUGAGAGGCGUAUGUGGAGACACGCGAGUACACAGGAGAGUGUUGAAUUUUGCAGUACAGAAUCCUUGGGUCUCCACAAUACAAUAACAUUCUAAGUACAAUGUUAAGUAUGAUUUAUUUCAUGGUAUUUGUAUGUAUGCAAACAUUAUUAACACAAAAAUAUAUUUCUAUGAAAAAAUACAUUAAAAAAAACAAUAAUAGAGAAGGCAAGAAUAGAAAAUUAUAUUUAUUCAUAUUUUACAGAUUCACAAUGGGGGGGGAAACACAUUUUCAUGCUAGCAAAAUUCUUGAGAGAUUAGUGCCAUUGCUUCAAAAACUUUUUGGUAGAACUUUGUCUUGAGGUGUGGAUGGCUCUCAUUUAGAAUCCUCACAAAACCUUUCAUGGAUUCUAAUAUAGGAUCCGUGGGUGCACUUAAUUCCUUCAGAUCUUUCCACUCAUUAUGCACAUUAGCUAGUUCUCUCCUCAACUGCUCCUCGAUAUCUGAAAUGUUGCUAGUCCUGUGUUUCCUCUUCUUACUGGGUUUUGAUGAAGUUGGACAAACAUGUGAGCUGUUUCUUGGUGGUGGCGUACUAGAGUCAUCUGACGUCGAGGAUGUAGGGUCUGUUGGCACGGGAAGUCGUGUCUCAACGUACGUCGUGUCAAGCUCCAGAGGGUCAAUUUCUUCUUCUUGCGCAUUAACUGCAGGAUCAUCAAUUAAAUCACUGAUAGAACCAGCCCAUACCAAAUCCUUCAAAGGUCUUGGAGAAACCUGCAAUUAUUAAGAAUUAAGGGCUGUACCACAUGUAUACACAGGGAGUAGAAAUGAGCAUGCCUUGAAGAACUCCCAUUUACUUGUGCAUCUUCCGCCAGGCCCCUCCGAAGUAUUUCUUAUUCUCCGCAGCUG